rnacentral:rRNA from 1 species
AUUGAACGCUGGCGGCAGGCCUAACACAUGCAAGUCGAGCGGAGCGGCGGACGGGUGAGUAAUGCCUAGGAAUCUGCCUGGUAGUGGGGGAUAACGUCCGGAAACGGGCGCUAAUAUCGCAUACUAUCAGAUGAGCCUAGGUCGGAUUAGCUAGUGGGUGGGGUAAAGGCCUACCAAGGCGACGAUCCGUAACUGGUCUGAGAGGAUGAUCAGUCAAAGUGGAACUGGGACACGGUCCAGACUCCUACGGGAGGCAGCAGUGGGGAAUUUUGGAAAAUGGGGGAAAGCCUAAUCCAGCCAUGCCGCGUGUGGGAGAAGGGUCUUCGGUUUUUAAAGCACUUUAAGUUGGGAGACGUUACCAGCAGAAUAAGCACCGGCUAACUUCGUGCCAGCCGCCGCGGUAAUUC